GAGGGUAUAGCUCAGUAGUCGAGCACAUGCUUAGUAUGCACAAGGUCCUGGGUUCUAUCCCCAGUACCUCCA
rnacentral:tRNA from 1 species